rnacentral:rRNA from 1 species
GAUGAACGCUGGCGGCGUGCCUAAUACAUGCAAGUCGAGCGAACAGACGAGGAGCUUGCUCCUCUGACGUUAGCGGCGGACGGGUGAGUAACACGUGGAUAACCUACCUAUAAGACUGGGAUAACUUCGGGAAACCGGAGCUAAUACCGGAUAAUAUAUUGAACCGCAUGGUUCAAUAGUGAAAGACGGUUUUGCUGUCACUUAUAGAUGGAUCCGCGCCGCAUUAGCUAGUUGGUAAGGUAACGGCUUACCAAGGCAACGAUGCGUAGCCGACCUGAGAGGGUGAUCGGCCACACUGGAACUGAGACACGGUCCAGACUCCUACGGGAGGCAGCAGUAGGGAGUCUUCCGCAAUGGGCGAAAGCCUGACGGAGCACCGCCGCGUGAGUGAUGAAGGGCUUCGGAUCGUAAAACGCUGUUAUUAGGGAAGAACAAAUGUGUAAGUAACUAUGCACGUCUUGACGGGACAUAAUCAGAGAGCAACGCCUAACUACGU